GAUUCUGUGGUAUAAUGGUAGUGCGUUCGCCCGGCAAACGCGAAUCGCAGGUUCGACUCCUACCGGUGUCU
rnacentral:tRNA from 1 species